GUUGUGUGUGUGUGCUUUGUGUGUACAUGCAAUCGGCCAGCAAAGGUGAAAAGAAGAAGAAGAAGAAGAAAUGUGAUCAAACUCCAAAUUGGAACUAGAUUCCUUCCAUAAUCCAUCUUUUCAUCGUCUCUUGGUGAUUUAAAAUCCAAACUUCAACAUCUGGUAAGUUUUUCAAAACCCUAAGGAGGUUUCUUUGAUGUGGGAGACGAUUUGGGUUGUAGUAGUUUUGUAGUAUACUUUGUUUAUAUUGAUGAGUUAUAGUAUAAAUUUGAGAUUAAAUUGGUUCAAAACUGAUAUGAUCGAAAUCAUUGUCGUGUGUUUGACCCGACAAUGCGUUGCUAGAUUAAAGCUUAGUAUGUUUAAAAUACCGGUUUAAAGGAUGAUUAUAUGACAAAAUAUUAUGCUAAUGUGACGUUUCAGAUGGUUUGGCAUACUGAUAUGAUCGAAAUCAUUGUCGUUGUGUGUUUGACCUGACAAUGUGUUGCUAGAUUGAAGCUUAGUAUGUUUAAAAUACCGGUUUAAAGGAUGAUUAUAUGACAAAAUAUUAUGCUAAUGUGAUGUUUCAGAUGGUUUGGCAUACUAUGACAAAAUAUUAUGCUAAUGUGACGUUUCAGAUGGUUUGGCAUACUAGAAUUCGAUUGUAGAUUAUAAACCAGUCGAUGGGACUGCUGAACACAUAAUGUAAGUUUCUUGACCAUUCCUCUCGUUAAGAACAAUUACAUGGUUAUGCUAUUUACUAACUAAUUUGUUUGAUCAUACCGGGAAUGAAUGAGUUUUUGUAGUACAACCUUGUUAUCUUGGAUUGUAUACUUAGAUUUGUUAUUUCAAUCUGCAGUGCAACCUAACAAUGACGAGGUAACGUGACUUCAAACCUGGUGUCUAUUCUUACCUAUGGAAGUAUUACAUAUGACGAGAUUAAAUUGGAUUGUUAAAGUAAACACCUUGAUGGUUGAUCUACUAUGAAUUCUUGGAUAGAAAGACGAAGGCAACCUUAGUAAACUAGCACUGGUGUUUAUCUAGUCAACUUUCAUUGAAGUUUGUUUGUGCCAACUUCUAUAAACCCCACCCACAAUGAUUUUUGUAUAUAUAGUUAAACAUGUAAAUGAUCUAGGUUUUGCUUCCGCUGAAGUAGUUUAAUGUGUUUACACUGGGACUUUUAUGCAAAUACAAGUUUAUUA
rnacentral:lncRNA from 1 species